rnacentral:lncRNA from 7 species
AGUGCAACUUUCAUUCAGGAGCUUGUAUGAAGUGAUCAGGACUGCAGAAUUCCUGCCCAGGAUGAAUGUGUCUGCGCACAUGUCUCAAGAUAAUGCCUGAACCUUCCGGGGACAACAGUAGACUUUGGGAUCAGGACACACCUUUUCCUUCAGCAGCAUUGUGGCUGCCUACCAGCUGAAACGGUAUGUCUGCAUCUGGAUGAGAUGGAGAGCAAUUUACAAAUUUCAUCCAUGUGAUGGAUGUGGAGGAGAAGCCAUAGAAGAUGACACCCAACCAGGAACAAGCUGCAGUUUUGUUGUGAAUAUCCAGGAAGUCUCUGUGGUGCAGAUGUGACAGCAACAGCAAAACGUAUUUCAACGUCCCAUCCCGUGAAGAGCUCCCCUUCUUGAGCUGUUCUGGGAAAACAGAAGGCAGCCGAUGGCAGGACAGGGAUGUGGUGUGGGGAAAGGAGAAAUCUAGUUUGGAAGCUGAAUGCUAAAACGAUGCAUCGAUUUCCUAUCAGAAAGGUGAAGUAAAUGCAACUGUCUCUGGGGUGGAGUGCUACUUUGACUCCCAUAGAAGCAAAGCAGAUCUGGGCUAUAGACAAAGAUGCAAAAUCAAGAUUGGAUGGAGUGUGAACUUGGGAGUGAACUCUCUGGAAAGUACAUGAGAGGGAUCAGAGCUCAUUGCACGUGAACUGAACAAUGAAGGAAUAAAACGACUUACAAGCUACAUCAGUCCUGGAAAACAAAAAGGAUUUUACAGAAGAUUUCCUCUUGUUUGAGUUGCGAUAUCCAACCGUGAUGGAUAAUCACUUCUUAUCCUGGUUGUUUUGUUGCUUCUGAGACAUGGAGUUUUCACUUUAAGCCUGGUUAAAGAGUAAAAGAAGGGGAUGCAGCUGUGUCUAAAUUAACCCUUAGCUCAGCAGUAGGGUUUUCUCAGGCUGCUUGGAGAAGAAAAACAUAGUUAAAACAACAGAAAGUUUUAACUUCUGCCUCGAGGGCUGGAAACCUAUUUUUCAGGCAGCUUAACUUCUGUCAUUCUCAGUGCGUCUCUUCAAAUUAGCUUCAGACAGUGAAAUAAAUAGGAAAUAUUGCCCAAGAGUCCAUAGUUUUGUCAGAAAGGACUUGGAAAAAAGUAGAGGGGAAGAAAAAGAAAGGCUGAAUCAUGAAGGCCUGCCACGUCUUUUUGCUGAUGUGAAAUCAAAACUGACUGAGGUUAUGGUCAUUCAAUUAUUACAAACCAGUGUAUGAGAAAACCAAUCGUUUGAUGAUGCUGGGUUAAAUGUUCUGGACAAGACGUGAUGUGAACUUCCUCACGUUUGAAUUCUAAGUUUCAGCAAAGGAAAAAUAAUGCCAAGUAAACCUGGUAAAAAGAUCUCAUCAUGUUGUAAGAUGUUAAUGUCGAUUCUAAAGAGUUGAGCAGAGUGAGGGAUGGGAGAGGAGGGCACAACUAAGAAAUGGCACUGUUUUUUUUCCAUAAGCAUCCCUAACUGAUUCCUUUCAGAUACUGAUAGCCCUAUAUCUUCACUGCUUCAGGACGCAGGGCAGCAAGGUGCCUCACAAGAGAUGUCCAUAAAGUGUCCAGUCCGGGAGUCUGAAAAAUUCUUGGUGCAACUUUGAAGCUCUGUUGACCAGGACAUGUAUUAAGGAUUGCAAAGCUGUGGUCCCUCGCGUGUGCACGCUUCGUUUUCUCAGCAGAAAGAAAAAGAGAAAACAGAAGCUGAGGAGAUAUUCAAGAACUGUGGAGAUGUGGCACUGAGGGACAUGAAGAGAAACUGCAGCAAAGGGGAGAAAUUUCUUCCAUCUGUGGCCAAGGUUAAGGCAACCUGUAGGAAAGAAUGAAAACGACGCAGAGUAACGAGCACCUCAUUUCAGCAAGGUCCAAACCGCUGUCUGCAACGUUUUGGACGAUCCAGUGCGUCUCCUGGUUUUAUUUCAUUCUGUUUUUCGUUACAAGAGGUGUUUCUGUCAAAACCAAAACUGGAGGAGCUGAGCCUAUUAGUGCAUGGCAUGUCUUUCUCUGCCGUACCCAAAGCCGCAGCGGUGAUUUCCCUCUCACUGGUUCUGGGGUGAACCGGGUGUACGGGCUGGGGAGGUCCAGCACUGGAAAUGCUGGUAGGAAGCUGGGCUGAGAGGAAACCCAUUCCUUAUGGGGUGUUGCAUGAACCUGGAGCUCUAUAGUACCCCACCACAGAGAUUGAGGGCUGGGAAUAAUCAGCACGUGUCAAAAAGUCCGUAAGAAGCUUCAGCUACUUCUUGAAUUUUGGGGCUAAUGGUCAGUGCCGUGAAUAGAUGGGAAACAAAUAUUGCUGCAAACAUGAACUCAUUCCAGAGAGCAGCUCUUCUUUCCCCAGCACUCUUGUGGAAAUCUAUUGCUCCUCACUGAAAAAUAAAGCUGUGAAUGCAUUACUAAAAAGCAGGACAAUCAAUGUCUUAACCCCUUCAUUUCAACAUUUCAGAGCAGAACUUUUAGGAUGAAGCAUACUAAUUGUUGCACUGAUAUGUGACAAUAGCUAUCAAGGUUAAGUGUUUGAAAGAUCAAUCUACUACAGAGGCAAUUAAUUAUAAGCAAAAAAUGGAGGCAAGAGGGAAGAGAGAAAUGGAACAGCUGGAAUAAGUGGCAGAAAGAGAGGUGGAGGAAGAAAUGAAACGGAAAAACACAAAACAUGUUUGCUGUAGAGAGAACAAGGAGAAAAGUAUGGACGUGGGUUCUUUGGAAAUGUUCUUGCUGACAAGAACCUGGACUUUUGAUUCACCAUCACUUCUUUCUUCUAAAGUAUCUGCUAUUUACUUGCAGUCUCAAUAUUUCCCAUGAUUUUCCUCCUGAGGAGACUUCGUUCCCUGCCCUUCCCCAGCUGUGUGGGACAAGAGCCACAACAUCUAGAGUUUACAGAAAGGGAAUGAUAACUCCAGAUCCAUAACAGAUAUCAACGAUGAUAUACACAAUUUGAGAAGCACAUUUUCAUGUUUUUAUGUUUCGGGGGUUGUUUUUUUCACCCUGUCAAUCAUCUUCUCUUUGAGAUCCUCGAGGGAGGACAAAUGGGAACUCCAGGUAGGUGGCCGGCAGUGUCUGGAAAUGGCUAGUGCAGGAAUAAUGGGAGCCUUGAGAGCCUCUGUACCUGUACCAUUCAUGGAGUUAAUUGUUAGAUUGUGGAUAUGGUUUGUCCAGAACUGUUCCACAGGAAUCCUCACCAGCCCAGAUCUGCACAAUGACGUUUUCAGGCAGAUUGGUUUUGGAGAGGGAAUGUCAGACACCUCCAACUGUUGUUUGAAAAUUAAGCGUGGUGUGAAAGCUAUAGGUAAAAAGGCAGAAUGAACCGCUGGGAUAUAUCCCCCAAAGGAAGAAAAUCCUGUCCAGAUGAAGAGGUCACUUCAUUCAUAAGCCCCAGGCCCUGGGUGGAUAAUAACCCCUCUCUUUGAGUAUCAUCAAGAGAAUAAAAGGCAAAAGCGCUGUUUGCCAUUUGUUUCCAAAUAAAUGCAGUUUUAUCAUGC